AACAGUGCAAGACUCCAUCUCAAAAAAAAUUUAAAUUAAUUAAAAAAAAUAAUUGAAAUGGAAAAAAGAAAAAUGCAGGAAACUGGAGCCAAUAAUCUGUUUCACAUAGGCUUUGUACAAAAGAAAAUGAAAACUAAGAUCCAGCUGGAGAUGCUAAAGAAAUGAGACCAAUUUUUUAGCAGCUGUAAAAAAACCUUCACUUGAGACGAGAAAGAGUCCCUUCACAAUAAUCACCUGGGAAAGGACAUAGGCAUGGGCAAAGAUUUCAUGACUAAAACACCAAAAGCAAUGGCAAUAAAAGCCAAAAUUCACAAAUGGGAGCUAAUUAAACUAAAGAGCUUCUGCACAGCAAAAGAAAUGAUAGUCAGAGUGAACAGGCAACUUACAGAAUGGAAGAAAAUUUUUGUAAGCUAUCCGAUAAAGGGCUAAUAUCUAGAAUCUACAAUAAAUGUAAACACAUUUACAAAAAAAAAAAGCAAAACCCCCAUCAAAAACUGGGCAAAGUAUAUGAACAUCCACUUCUCAAAAGAAGAUAUUUAUGUGGCCAAGAAACAUAUGAAAAAAAGCUCAUCAUCACUGGUCAUUAGGGAAAUGCAAAUCAAAACCACAUUGAGAUAUCAUCUCAUACCAGUUAGAAUGGCGAUCAUUAAAGAGUCAGGAAACAGAGCAGAUGCUGAGAGGAUGUGGAGAAACAGGAAAGCUUUUACACUGUUGGUGGGAGUGUAAAUUAGUUCAACUGUUGUGGAAGACAGUGUGGUCAUUCCUCAAGGUUCUAGAACCAGAAAUACCAUUUGACCCAGCAAUCCCAUUACUGGGUAUAUACCCAAAGGAUUAGAAAUCAUUCUACUAUAAAGACACAUGCACAUGUAUGUUUAUUGCAGCACUGUUCACAAUAGCAAAGACUUGGAACCAACCCAAUGCCCAUCAGUGGUAGACUGGAUAAAGAAAAUGUGACUCAUAUACACCAUGGAAUACUAUGCAGCCAUAAAAAGGAUGAGUUUGUGUCCUUUGCAAGGACAUGGAUGAAGCUGGAAACCAUCAUUCUCAGCAAACUAACACAGGAACAGAAAGCAAACACCGCAUGUUCUCACUCACAGAAUCCCCUUUUCAUGGAGCAUCUGGAUGAAUUUUUGUUCCAUGAAACCAACUGUGAGGAAUCCUGUUACACACACAGUCACUCAUAUGGUAAGUAAUACAGAGUCAUGAUAUUAUAAAGGUUCCAGAAAACCUGAUUUGCUCUGAGCCUUGGGACUCUCUUGAAUGAGGUCCUGAUGUUUUCUUUCUGACUCAUUUUCUCUCUGUCUUCACUUUUUAUGUAUCACUCAUCAUACCAAAGGCUUUGAGUUUUCAUAUUGCUGUAUUAGUGAGGUCCUGGAAAUAUUUAUUUAGCAAAUGUGCUAAUCAUUCUAUUUAUUUCUGAUAGAUACAUCUCUAAUAUCUCCUGAUUCUCUAAUGGUUUAUGCCCCAUUGUCCACCAAAGUCUGUCAUGAUUCCCUGAAGUGAAUUUAGAACACUUUGGAAAAUGCAUGUGUGUGAGAGACGGGUGGCUCUCACAGGAUUAGACAGAGUACACAUAAUUAAAUUACACUGCAGAUGACAUUUUCAUCUGUAUUAUUAUUUUUUCUUUUUUUCUUUUUGAGAUGAAGUCUUGCUCUGUCACCAGGCUGGAGUACACUGGCAUGAUCUUGGCUCACUGCAACCUCCACCUCUUGGGUUCAAGUGAUUCUUCUGCCUCAGCCUCCUGAGUAGCUGGGAUUACAGGUGUACCACCAUGCCUGGCUAAGUUUUGUAUUUUUAGUAGAGAUGAGGUUUCACCAUGUUGGUUAGGCUGGUCUCAAACUCCUGACCUCAUGAUCCGCCUGCCUCAGCCUCCCAAAUUGCUGGGGUUACAGGCGUGAGCCACCAUGCAUGGCUGUAUUCUUAAAAAACUUACUUAUUAAAAGUAAUUAAAAGUUGAUCACCUUAAGAUAGCUGAACUUUUAAUUGAUUGCAUUUUUCCCAGAGAUCCACAGCAAAUGCAAAUUCAACUUAAAAAUUUUUGCAAGUGGAUUACAUUACACAAAUAUUUUAGUAUUUUAUGCAGGUAAUAAAGUUAACUAUCAAGUAUUUUCUGUACUGAUAUUUUUAACUGAUUAACAGAUGUUUACUAAUGCUACUAAAGACAUUCCUCCAGUGUUUGUAAAAAUCAUAGACAAAACAUUUUGGGUUCCUGAAUGGGCUUUAGAUCUGUAAAUCAAUCUCAUGGAUCAUUUUAAAUUACUAAUUAUAAGCAAAUAGAUAAGCAAGAAUGACUAUAAAUUCGGUUAAUUACUGUAGCUCAAGUUUUAGCUCAUAAUUUUAACUUUCAAAGGCUACACAAACCAAUUUUGUACUCUUAGAUUAUAAUGAGCAGUCUUUAUUCUUUAAUCAGUUCACCCCGUAUCUAGCUGUCUAAUGUAACAUUCCUUUGAAGUCUAGAAAGAUCUAACAUAAUUGAAGAAAUGUCGAACUACUUGACUCUUUUUUUAAUAUAAAGGAAUUAAACAUUAAUCAGGCUUGUGCAUCUCAAUUAAGCCAAUUAAAAUUAUCACAGAAUGCAGUGCAUACCGCAAUAGGUAGCCUUAAUGCUUGAAUAUGUUAUCAACUUUUACCUAAUAUUCCCAUCUUCAUUAUGUCUAUUACUCAAAAAGUAAAUACAGAUCUGAAGUCCGUAUUAGAGAGUCCACCGGUUAAUAUGAUCUUGCAAAGCCCUGGCAAAAGAAACACUUAAAGUGAUGUUUAUUCAACUAUUGCUAAUAGUGCUGAAACUCACCUUAAAUCUUUCUGCCAAGGAAGAAAUUCUAUAAUUAUGGUGAUGACUGGUGCCUUCAUCCAAAUAGCCUAUUAACUAUUCAAUUUGCUCCCUAACAACUGGCAAAGGCAGUUUUGGUCUUGCAAGCUAUAGUAUAUACACAAAGUCCAUAUAAUUACUAAUAAUUUGUAACAAGUGUUAAUUGAUAAACAGCUCCCUCUGGUAGCUUAAUUAAAGCUGUAGGAUAGCUAGGCGAUUUACAACUGGGAUUGAUCUCAAUUAGUCAACAAAAUCUGUGUAGUCUGUUCAAAGGAGAGUAAGGAAAUUUAGCCUAGUGAGGCUUUGGGGAUUUUGUCUCGUCUUCCUUGUUUUUUUUUUUCUUUCAAGAAGAGAAAUGAAAUCGGAAGAGCUGCCUUGCUUUGUCAGUAGCGAUCUACCUAGCUUAGAGAGUGCAUUACUCGCAGGCUCUUCAGCAUUUGUUCUUCCAUUUGUUUAUUCUCUGGUAGUUUACUGAAAAAUAUUCAAGCAUUUGCUUUUAUUACACCCAGUGGUACACAUUGCUGAAUACCAACCCGGAGGGACCUAAAAGCAGAAGGAAAAAACAAUUUUUAAAAAUGUCAGGUUUUCAUCUUGCAGCUCUGUUUGCAAACUGGCAUUUUGAGGCCAUAAUUAAAAGGAAGCCCAAGAACAGUGGCACAGGGGAAUCACGGGAGACUUGGCUUGUAAAGCCAUCAUGGCUGCUUCAGGACUCAACUUAUUUUAUCAUGUGGGCUGAUACACUAAAAACCUAAUCUAAGCAUUGCGGAAAUUACCCCUAUGGAAUAGCAGAGGAAAAAAGUGUCAUCUGUGUUCAGUGAGAUCACAGACUGGCUGCAAACAGCUGCUGAAACAUUAAUUAAUCUGUUUGCAAAUAAAUUGUGGAUCUGUACUAGCUGAAAUUGCUCUUAUAAACAAGCUGGGAUGCUGUACCUACCAGGUUUGCCUGUAUUUUAAUUUUUUUUCCUAUGCUGUAAACUCAGCAGAGCCCAGAUGCAGCACUGUGUGUUUACUUCUGGAAGCUCUGAGCAAGUAUGCUGAUAUUACCUUGUAGAUACCCAGCUUGAAAGCAAUUCAUACCAGUUGUGGGACUUUUGUAGGCUUACAAUACUGUGUUGAAGGGUCCACAUCUCAUUUGAGUCAGAUUUGUUAAUCAAAGAGAAUGAAAUAUUCUACAGAGCAAACGGAUGUGGAUUUAGCAAUUCUGUAAUUUUAAAACAUUUCGUAAGUGUCACGGUUGCUUAAUUUGUUCUAACUAGACUGUGGCAAAUUCAAGUUGCCUAGACCUUUAAAAGAUUAAUGUUGGCUCCCCAUGUUUACUCAUUUUUGAAAAAAGUCGUAGGAUGUGUAGCUGAAACAGAGAAUCGGAGAUAGUUUGUCUUGCCAAAAUGUGAAAUUCUGAUACGCCCUGUUCCCUGUUUUUCUGUCCAUUUUUCUUGAAGAUGAUUUUAAUUCAAUAAACACUCACAUCUCUUCAUUUAUUUAACAGAUAUUUAUUGAAUGUCUAGUAUGAACCAAUUGUUCUGCUACUGCUGGGAUACAGAAGGUACUGGGAAUGCAACUCUUGCCCUCAAGGGGUAGUGGUCUCAAUGGGUUUAGGGUGAAAGAAGCCAUAGCCAAUAUGGAAAUGAAUGGCCAAGACUAUGUUCCAAUAAAACUUUAUUUAUAAAACCAAUGGCAGGCUGGAUUUAGUCCUUGGGCUACAGGUUACCAAUUCUUGGCUUAAUGAUAAAUAAGCCAAACUACAAACCGGUGUGACUGUGAUCUUGUAUGUACUAUUUGGACAUAUUGGAGGGACACUUUAUCUAGCUUUGGUGGUAGUGGUGAUUCCAGGUUAAGGUCAACAAAAUCUUUAAAAGAACUCUGAAAACAGCUGGAUGAGAAAGAGCUAUUCAGAUGGAGGGACAAGGUGGGCAGGGUGUCCCAGUCAGAAGGGACAAAAUGGUCCAUUGCGAUACAGCAUGGUGUUGUAAUAUCAUUAAGAUGUUCAUCAAUAUUUUGAUUUUCCUCCUGCUUGCAGUCACACUGUUAUACCACACUUCUGUACCCUGCCCUAAAAGUAAGCAUGGCCAUACAACUUACUUUGGCCAUGAAAUGUGAGAAGAAUGACAUGGACUAUCUCUGAGUGGAAGAUGUCAGAGCCGGUGUUCAAUUCUCUGUAGUCACAUUUCUUGCUGCAGGGAUCAUAGAAGCUCUUGUUGAGGUAGAACCUCUAACUGCCUUGGUUUCUGAGAGAUUAUAAUGACAAAUUCCACCCCCACAUCCUGCCCCCCAAAAAACUUACACUGGAAAUUUAGUGUGAGAUUCUGAUAAAACUUGGUAGAGUAAAACCACUGCAAUAGUGGGGAUUGUGUUUUUAUUCUAGCAUAGCAUAACCUCUCCUGCCUCUUACAAUGUGCUCCUGAGCCUGAAAAUAUGGAUGGCUUUGUCCUGGGUACUGAGGUAAAGACAAGGACUUCAAGAAGUUCACAAUGUAUUGGCACUCAGUAAUGACACAAAGCAAAAUACGGUAGGAUGUCUGAGAAAAGUAAAAAGUGCUUGAGAAUCACAGAAAAGAGAAGGCCCAUCCUAGGACCUGUCAAAAAAGUUCCAUUGAAAAGAUGCCGCUGCAACAACUCUUAAGAGCUGUAAAGAACAAUGAGGGUUCUGUUAAGCCAUUACAUGCAUUGGGGAGGAAAAGGCUUAUAGGUGAUAAGAAGAUGAGACAAAGUAUGGAAGCCAAAAACUAUGACUUAAAACAUAGUUUGGAAGCAAGACAAAAGAAUCAAACCCAAUGAAUGGGGACACUUAUAUGCCAUGCUGAGGGGUUAGAACUUUGAGGUGGAGUGGGCAGAGCAAUUGAUGCAGAGUCGGAAGAUCGGAUUUCUGGUGGCCUUCCUACUAAUUACCAGCUGGUAAGGAAAAGGGUGUCUCUCUGCAUUGUCCCCAUGCAUUACAGCCCACGGGCUACUGAUUGGGCUUGCACUGAAAUGCUGUUCUCAGGGUGGCACAGUCCUGGUCAGAGUCCAGUUUCUCUCCCUGAAAACAGAAUCACUCGGCUAGUCCAUGGCUAAGCCUGCACUAGAAUUGAAAUUUCCUGACUUUCAGGCGAGAGCCCUAUAAUACCACACUGCCACUAGAAACUGAGACUCCUAACCUAGGAUCAUAUUCUUCAAGUAUACCCUAAAGGAUAUAGAAAGUCAGAGAGCAAAAGCUGUACCUGGAGGGAUUGGAGGAGCAACUCCAUGAGGGCAAAGGAGUUGCCACAGUACACCUCACCUUGGUCCAUAGAGUUUGGAAUCAAGGUAUAAAUAAAAGCCUGAAAUUCCUAUAGUUAGGUUGUCUUUGACCUCAGCCUAAUGCUUCUGUUAGUAUCCACUUAUGGGCUUAUAUUUCUCGAUAUUUUGCAAAUUCCUUUUCAAAAGGCUAUUUAUUGUUAUGUUAAUACCUGCUAAUGGUUAGUGUCAAGACAAUACUGUUCUAUGAGUAGUAAGUUUUAAAGUUUGAUGAAUGGCUCUCUGUUUCAGAAGCAGUGGGUGCAGAGCACUGAAUUGGGAGUCAGAUAAGUUGGAUCUAGUCUAAAUUCCAAAACUUGCUAAAUUUAAUACCUUUGUAUAAGACACCCCCUUUUGGAAUUUUCUCACCCAAUAUCCUGAAAGGGAUGAAUAAACUACUUGUAAAUCUUUUUAAAUAAAAGGUAUUAUUUUUGUUGUUAUAAAUGUGGUUUUCCAAGUUUAACCAAGAAGGAAGAGAUGAUGGCUCUAGGACAUUGGCACUGCCUGUUUUGGAUGAUAGCCUGGGACUGGCCGUUUUACUUUUCUUGGGAGGUUUUCUCUGUCUUCUGCAGGGUGACCUCUACAUCCUUUGUACGUCCAGGAGACUUUACUCUUACUUUUGCUAGAGGACCUAGUACAUAUUUGUCAACAUCGUUUUUUUCUUCCACUUAUCUGGGAACUCAAUGAGAAGCGUGUCUGACUCAUCUUUGGGUCUUCCCCGUGAGCUAAAGUGGAUUGCCUGAUCUGUGAGUUGUAGUUAUUUAAAUGUAUCUAACUCCGUUUGCUCUUAAACAACAUGUGUUUGAAUUGCAUGGGUUUACCUACAAACUUGUAGAUUUUCUUCCACCUCUUUUCAUCCCUGAGACAGCAAGACCAACUACCGCUCUUCCUCCUCCACCUCAGUCCACUCAACGUCAAGAUGGUGAGGUUAAAGAUCUUUGUGAUGAUUCAUUUCCACUUAAUGAAUAGUAGAUAUAUUUUCUUUUCCUUAUGAUUCUCUUCAUAACAUUUUCUUUUCUCUAAUUUACUUUAUUAUAUGAAUAUAGUAUGUAAUACACACAACAUGCAAAAUAUGCAUUAAUUGUUUAUGUUAUUAGUAAGGCUUCGGGUCAACAAUAGGCUAUUCAUAGUUAAGUUUUGGGGGCAUCAAAAGUUAUCCAUGGGUUUUUGACUGCACAGGGGUCAGUCCCCCUAAUCCCUAUGUUGUUUAAAGGUCAGCUGUAUACAUGGUUGGGUGGGGUUGGGGAGGAAAGCAAAAAGAGGGAGGGAG